rnacentral:rRNA from 1 species
GAUGAACGCUGGCGGCGUGCCUAAUACAAGCAAGUCGAGCGAACGGACGAGAAGCUUGCUUCUCUGAUGUUAGCGGCGGACGGGUGAGUAACACGUGGAUAACCUACCUAUAAGACUGGGAUAACUUCGGGAAACCGGAGCUAAUACCGGAUGAUAUUUUGAACCGCAUGGUUCAAAAGUGAAAGACGGUCUUGCUGUCACUUAUAGAUGGAUCCGCGCUGCAUUAGCUAGUUGGUAAGGUAACGGCUUACCAAGGCAACGAUGCAUAGCCGACCUGAGAGGGUGAUCGGCCACACUAGAACGGAGACGCGGUCCAGACUCCUACGGGAGGCAGCAGUAGGGAAUCUUCCGCAAUGGGCGAAAGCCUGACGGAGCAACGCCGCGUGAGUGAUGAAGGUCUUCGGAUCGUAAAACUCUGUUAUUAGGGAAGAACAUAUGUGUAAGUAACUGUGCACAUCUUGACGGUACCUAAUCAGAAAGCCACGGCUAACUACGUG